rnacentral:rRNA from 1 species
GGCUCAGGAUGAACGCUAGCGGCAGGCUUAACACAUGCAAGUCGAGGGGCAUCGGGAGUAGCAAUACUUGCCGGCGACCGGCGCAAGGGUGCGUAACGCGUGAGCAACAUGCCCGUAUCAGGGGGAUAAUCCAUGGAAACGUGGUCUAAUACCCCAUAGUAAUUAUGUAAGGCAUCUUAUAUAAUUUAAAGCUUUGGUGGAUACGGAUUGGCUCGCGUGACAUUAGCUGGAUGGUAAGGUAACGGCUUACCAUGGCUACGAUGUCUAGGGGUUCUGAGAGGAAGGUCCCCCCACACUGGAACUGAGAUACGGUCCAGACUCCUACGGGAGGCAGCAGUGAGGAAUAUUGGACAAUGGAUGGAAAUCUGAUCCAGCCAUGCCGCGUGCAAGGAAGACGGCCCUAUGGGUUGUAAACUGCUUUUGUAUGGGAGCAAUAAGGGCUACGUGUAGUCCGAUGAGAGUACCAUACGAAUAAGCACCGGCUAACUCCGUGCCAGCCGCCGC